GAUGAACGCUGGCGGCGUGCUUAACACAUGCAAGUCGAGCGAGAAAAGUUCUUCGGAGCUUUUCUAGCGGCGGACGGGUGAGUAACACGUGGGCAACCUGCCUCAUAGAGGGGAAUAGCCUUCCGAAAGGAAGAUUAAUACCGCAUAACAUUGUUGAAAGGCAUCUUUUAACAAUCAAAGGAGCAAUCCGCUAUGAGAUGGGCCCGCGGCGCAUUAGCUAGUUGGUGAGGUAACGGCUCACCAAGGCGACGAUGCGUAGCCGACCUGAGAGGGUGAUCGGCCACAUUGGAACUGAGACACGGUCCAGACUCCUACGGGAGGCAGCAGUGGGGAAUAUUGCACAAUGGGGGAAACCUUGAUGCAGCAACGCCGCGUGAGUGAUGAAGGUCUUCGGAUUGUAAAACUCUGUCUUUAGGGACGAUAAUGACGGUACCUAAGGAGGAAGCCACGGCUAACUACGUGCCAGCCGCCGCAGUAACAC
rnacentral:rRNA from 1 species